rnacentral:rRNA from 1 species
GGUCAAGCAACAAAGCGUGCGUGGUGGAUGCCUUGGCAGCUAGAGGCGAUGAAGGACGUGGUAGGCCACGAAAGGCCCCGGGGAGCAGUCAAACAUGCUUUGAUCCGGGGGUGUCCGAAUGGGGAAACCCACUCUGUUUACAGAGUAUCGUUAACUGAAUUCAUAGGUUAACGAGGCGAACGCGGAGAACUGAAACAUCUUAGUACCCGUAGGAAAAGAAAUCAAACGAGAUUCCCCUAGUAGCGGCGAGCGAACGGGGAGUAGCCCUUAAGUUACAUAAGGUUUAGCAGAACGCUCUGGAAAGUGCGGCGAUAGAGGGUGAUAGCCCCGUAUGCGAAAAGCCUUUUGUGAUGAAAUCGAGUAGGUCGGGACACGUGAAAUCUUGACUGAACAUGGGGGGACCAUCCUCCAAGGCUAAAUACUCCUAGCUGACCGAUAGUGAACAAGUACCGUGAGGGAAAGGCGAAAAGAACCCCGGUGAGGGGAGUGAAAUAGAACCUGAAACCGCGUACGUACAAGCAGUGGGAGCCUGGCCACUCAAUUGCUUUGCAAUUGAGUGGCAGCAACGGAGUUGCAAGAAACAAGAUACAAGAGACAAGAGACAAGGAGAGUCAACAUGCCAUAUUGGAAUUUGGAUGUGUAUCGAAAGGCUUAUGAUCUUGCUUUAGAGAUUCAUAGAAACAGUUUGAAUUUUCCGAAGCAUGAACAGCAUGAAUUAGCGAGUCAAUUACGUCGAGCGAGUAAAUCCAUUCCUGUCAACUUAGUGGAGGGAAUGGGUAAACAUGCGAGCUCAAAAGAUGUAAAGCGUUAUAUCAAAAUAGCGAUGGGUUCGAAUGAUGAAGUUCGACUCUGGCUCAAAUUCAGCAAAGAUCUAAGCUAUCUACCUGAAGAGUCUUAUCAAGACUUAUCAGUAAGAUAUGAGGAAGUCGGAAAAAUGCUAGGCGGUUUGCUAAAGCGUUAUACCUGACCCUUGUUUCUUAUCUCCUGUAUCUUGCCACCUCAAUAACAGAGUUAUUGAGUGGCUGGGUGACCGCGUACCUUUUGUAUAAUGGGUCAGCGAGUUAUUGUUAGUAGCAAGGUUAACCGUUUAGGGGAGCCGUAGGGAAACCGAGUCUUAAUAGGGCGUUUAGUUGCUAGUAAUAGACCCGAAACCGGACGAUCUAGCCAUGGCCAGGUUGAAGGUUGAGUAACAUCAACUGGAGGACCGAACCCACCUAUGUUGAAAAAUGGGGGGAUGAGCUGUGGCUCGGAGUGAAAGGCUAAUCAAGUCCGGAGAUAGCUGGUUCUCCUCGAAAUCUAUUUAGGUAGAGCCUCAUGAAUUACCACUGGGGGUAAAGCACUGUGUCGGCUAGGGGGUCAUCCCGACUUACCAACCCGAUGCAAACUCUGAAUACCAGUGAGUACAAUCAUGGGAGACAGACGGCGGGUGCUAACGUCCGUCGUCGAAAGGGAAACAACCCAGACCACCAGCUAAGGUCCCUAAUAUCAGUUCAGUGGGAAACGAUGUGGGAAGGCUUAGACAGCUAGGAGGUUGGCUUAGAAGCAGCCACCCUUUAAAGAAAGCGUAAUAGCUCACUAGUCGAGUCGGCCUGCGCGGAAGAUAUACCGGGGCUUAAACUGAUAACCGAAGCUGUGGAUCUAGAGACUUGUCUCUAGAUGGUAGAGGAGCGUUCUGUAAGCGGUUGAAGCUGAGUCGUGAGGCUUGGUGAACGUAUCAGAAGUGCGAAUGCUGACAUGAGUAACGAUAAGGGGGGUGAAAAACCUCCCCGCCGAAAGAUCAAGGUUUCCUGCCCAACGUUAAUCGGGGCAGGGUGAGUCGACCCCUAAGGCGAGGGCGAAAGCCGUAGUCGAUGGGAAACCGGUUAAAAUUCCGGUACCGAUUCUUACUGCGAUGGAGUGACGGAGAAGGCUAGACUAGCACAGUGUUGGUUGUCUGUGUUUAAGCGAGUAGGUAGGGGACUUAGGUAAAUCCGGGUCCUCGUUAAUCUGAGACGUGAUGACGAUCCUAACGGGAAACCUGACGGAGAAGUAGUCAAUGCCAUGCUUCCAGGAAAAACUUCUAAGCUUAGGUAAGAAUUGAUCGUACUGUAAACCGACACAGGUGAUCAGGUAGAGAAUACCAAGGCGCUUGAGAGAACUUGGGUGAAGGAACUAGGCAAAAUGGUACCGUAACUUCGGGAGAAGGUACGCUCCUUUUGGUGAUCGCACUUGCUGCGUAAGCUGAGGGGAGUCGAAGUGACCAGGUGGCUGCAACUGUUUACUAAAAACAUAGCACUCUGCAAACUCGUGAGAGGAAGUAUAGGGUGUGACGCCUGCCCGGUGCCGGAAGGUUAAUUGAUGGGGUUAGCUUCGGCGAAGCUCUUGAUCGAAGCCCCGGUAAACGGCGGCCGUAACUAUAACGGUCCUAAGGUAGCGAAAUUCCUUGUCGGGUAAGUUCCGACCUGCACGAAUGGCGUAAUGAUGGCCACGCUGUCUCCACCAGUGACUCAGU